UAAGAGUUGUUUGUUAACGCGGAAAUAAUCUUUAAGCGUGUAGCUCACACGAGUUAAAUAUUAACAAGUGUUGUAUCGUUCGUCUAUAUUUACUUUAAUCGAUUGGAAUUUUGAAACGUUUUUUGUCAACUGUGGAAAAAAGAAAAUGAAAGUAGCCAUUGUCGGAGGCGGAAUAGUUGGUUUGACAACAGCGUUGCAGUUGCAAAAUGAAUUACGUAACGCUCAAGUUACAGUUUUCGCUACUGAUUUUGAUAAUACUGUCAGUCAUGUUGCUGCCGGACUAUUCAGAAUUGGCUCCUCGUACUCUGGACCUACUGAGAAGAUAACAAAGGAAUGGAUACAAAACUCUUACGAGUAUUAUGAUAACAUUCGAAAAACUGAAGAAGCUCCACUUGCUGGUAUAACAGCAAUUUCCGGUUACAUGUUCGCCAAUUCUUCUCCGGAAACGGUUAAGAGUCACUGGAUUGAAGAUUUAGUACCAAUAUACAGGAGAGCUACAGAGGAAGAAUUUAAUUUAGUUGGAGGUGUUUGGAAAUACGGAUCGUUUUUCACAACUCUCCUUACUGAAUGUAAACUGCAUCUUCCAUGGGCUCGGAAACAGCUACAAGAUAAUGGAACCAAACUCAUAGUUAGGAAGCUGAACUCCUUAAAAGAACUUACCUUCAAUUGGAAUUUGAUUUUUAAUUGUACAGGUUUAGGAGCAAGGUCUCUGUGUAACGAUAGACACUUGGUUUCUAUGAGAGGUCAAGUACUCAAAGUAAAAGCACCAUGGAUGAAAACAUUCUUCUAUGGGGAAGUAGAUACAUAUAUUAUACCUGGCUUUAACGGUGUCGUUACUCUUGGUGGUUCAAGAAACUUUGAUUCUGAAAAUAUGAAAGUUUGUCCUUACGAAUCUGCAGCAAUUCGGGAGAGAUGCGAGAACGUUGUUCCAGCUCUUAAGAAAGCAGAACUUUUAAGAGAAGAGGUUGGAUUGAGGCCUCACAGAACGCAGAACGUGAGAGUAGAAGCUGAAUGGAUUACAAAUGAAGAUUCUAAAGCUAUUCUGGUGCACAAUUAUGGACACGGAGGAUAUGGAGUAUGCACUGCUCCUGGUACUACUAAAUAUGCCAUUCAUUUGGCGAAGGAAAUGCAUAAGUCUUCUGUUGCAAAACUUUGAAUUUUUAAUAGUUUCAAUGUAAUAUUAACUGAAAUUAUUAACUUAAUUACAUUUGUUUAUUAUUAACGAAUUUACACAAGCAAAUCGUUAAUACGGACUAAUACUGCGUGGUAUUAUUGACGCUCAUUACGUACAACGUAUGUUUAUAUUUUCAGACUGUAGUUGCGCGUUCAAGUCAAAAAUAUCAAAUAAAGCAUACUGCAAAAAAAAAGAGCAGAACUAUAAGAAAACUCUUGAAACAUCUCUCGUUAUCUCUACGCUCCGGAACAGUAACGAAGCUAUAAAUCAACGUGCUCAUUCGUGUUAUCUUCCAAACAGGUUUGAGAUUUGACACGUUACUAUGCAUACUAGUGGAGACUGUAAUGCAUCAUUAAGAGGUCGUUUAACAAACUCGAGAACGUCGUUGCAAACUAUCGUGUAGAACUCCUUGCCAAGUGUUUGUUAAACACGUUAAAUCGUGAAUCUCACGAUGAGAAAAACCAUUGAAUGAAAACCAUUCCCAUCAAUUCCUGCUACUUCUUGCCAGGUUUCACGUUUUUCCGAGGUGGAGCGCCCCAUCUGAGCGCACUGCUAUCCACUGUUAGUCUUGGUCUUUUAUACUGACUACUUUUAAUGUGUUCUUCGACUAGUUUAGGUGUUACGCAGAUUACAUGUUGUCCCUUCCAGUAUUUAACCAUAUUCAUACUUUGCAGCGUCGAUAUAAUGUCCGUUUGUGAGAUACUUGUCAUCUGACUGCACAUUAUACAUAAAACAAUCACUCAGUUUUAU